UAAAACGACUCUCGGCAACGGAU
rnacentral:siRNA from 1 species